rnacentral:rRNA from 1 species
CCGGGCUAAUACCGCAUAUGCUCUACGGAGGGAAAGGGGGGGAUCCGCAAGGACCUCUCGCUAUGGGAGCGGCCGAUGUCCGAUUAGCUUGUUGGUGGGGUAAUGGCUUACCAAGGCGACGAUCGGUAGCUGGUCUGAGAGGAUGAUCAGCCACACUGGGACUGAGACACGGCCCAGACUCCGUACGGGAGGCAGCAGGUGGGGUAAUUUUGGACAAUGGGGCAACCCUGAUCCAGCCAUGCCGCGUGCGGGAAGAAGGCCUUCGGGUUGUAAACCGCUUUUAGUCGGGAAGAAAAGGCCUGGGCGAAUACCCUGGGUUUUGACGGUACCGGCGGAAUAAGCACCGGCUAACUACGUG